rnacentral:rRNA from 1 species
UUUUAGAUUCGAAGCGGUUAGUGGCGGACUGGUGAGUAACACGUAAGCAACCUGCCUGUUAGAGGGGAAUAACAGUGAGAAAUCACUGCUAAAACCGCAUAUGCCGUGAACAUCGCAUGAUGAAAACGGGAAAAGAGCAAUCUGCUAAUAGAUGGGCUUGCGUCUGAUUAGCUAGUUGGAGGGGUAACGGCCCACCAAGGCGACGAUACAUAGCCGACCUGAGAGGGUGAUCGGCCACACUGGGACUGAGACACGGCCCAAACUCC